GAGUUUGAUCAUGGCUCAGAUUGAACGCUGGCGGCAUGCCUAACACAUGCAAGUCGAACGGGAGUAGCAAUACUCUAGUGGCGGACGGGUGAGGAAUACAUAGGAAUUUGCCCUUAAGUGGGGGAUAGUCCGGGGAAACUCGGUUUAAUACCGCAUGAUCUCGUGAGAGCAAAGCAGGGGACCGCAAGGCCUUGCGCUUUUGGAGAAGCCUAUGUCGGAUUAGCUAGUUGGUGAGGUAAUGGCUCACCAAGGCGACGAUCCGUAACUGGUCUGAGAGGAUGAUCAGUCACACCGGAACUGAGACACGGUCCGGACUCCUACGGGAGGCAGCAGUGGGGAAUAUUGGACAAUGGGCGAAAGCCUGAUCCAGCAAUGCCGCGUGUGUGAAGAAGGCCUUCGGGUUGUAAAGCACUUUAGGUUGGGAAGAAAAAAUUCGGGCAAAUAUCCCGAGUCUUGACGGUACCGACAGAAUAAGCACCGGCUAACUCUGUGCCAGCAGCCGCGGUAAUACG
rnacentral:rRNA from 1 species